rnacentral:tRNA from 3 species
GGUCGUGUGGCCCAAUGGCAAGGCGUCUGACUACGAAUCAGAAGAUUCUGGGUUCGAUCCCCAGCAUGAUCAC